rnacentral:rRNA from 1 species
UACGAAGGGGGCUAGCGUUGCUCGGAAUCACUGGGCGUAAAGCGCACGUAGGCGGAUUGCUAAGUCAGGGGUGAAAUCCCAGAGCUCAACUCUGGAACUGCCUUUAAUACUGGGUAUCUCGAGUCCGGAAGAGGUGAGUGGAAUUCCGAGUGUAGAGGUGAAAUUCGUAGAUAUUCGGAGGAACACCAGUGGCGAAGGCGGCUCACUGGUCCGGUACUGACGCUGAGGUGCGAAAGCGUGGGGAGCAAACAGG